GCGGGCGUGGCGGAACUGGCAGACGCGCCGGUUUUAGGAACCGGUUCUUAGGAGUAAGGGUUCAAAUCCCUUCGUCCGCACCA
rnacentral:tRNA from 1 species